AAUAAUAGGUUUUUGUUGGGGCGACAAGAAGACAUAUAUAACUCUUCUAUUAGAAAGAUACUUGCCGGUUCUUUUAAGUAUGGAUAAACUACCUUAGGGAUAACAGCAUAAUCCAGUUUGGGUUUGUGACCUCGAUGUUGGACUAGGAAAAUUAUGCCCUAGCAGGGUGUAUAUUUAGGUUCUGUUCGAACUUCUUUUCCU
rnacentral:rRNA from 1 species